rnacentral:rRNA from 1 species
GACGAACGCUGGCGGCGUGCUUAACACAUGCAAGUCGAACGGAAAGGCCCUGCGUUUGUGGGGUGCUCGAGUGGCGAACGGGUGCGUAACACGUGAGUAACCUGCCCUUGACUUUCGGAUAACUUCAGGUAACUGGGGCUACUACCGGAUCGGAGCCCACGCUGCAUGGAGGGGGUUGGAACGUUUCGGCGGUUGGGGAUGGAUUCGCGGCUUUUCAGUUUGUUGGUGGGGUAGUGGCUUACCAACGCUGUCAAUGGUAGCCGGCCUGUGAGGGUGACCGGCCACAUGGGGACUGAGAGAGGGCCCAGACUCGUACGGGAGGCAGCAGGCGGGAGUAUUGCACAAUCGGAGGAAGUCUGAUGCAGCAACGCCGGGUGCGGGAUGACGGCCUUCGGGUUGUGAACCGCUUUCGCCUGUGACGAAGCGUGAGUGACGGUAAUGGGUAAAGAAGCACCGGCUAACUACGUG